rnacentral:lncRNA from 1 species
AUUACAAGUUAAAACAUAAAUGAAAUUACCAAAAUCCUAUAUAUGCAGCUUCUUUUGAACUCUUGACUUGAGUUUCAUCAUCCUAUUCUUCAGGUGGGCUCCUAACUUACAAUUUCUUCACCCUGUUCUCCACGCAGACUCCUGCCUUGCUAUUUUCAGUCAGUUGACUUUCAAUUUCUUCACCUUGUUGAUUGACUCUCAACUUCCUCACCUUAUUGAUUGUUUUUCAACUUCUUCACCAUGUUAUUUGUUUUUCAACUUCUUCACCUUGUUGUUUGAAUAUCAACUUCUUCACUUUGUUGCUUGACUUUCAACUUCUUCACCUUGUUAUUUGACUUUUAAUUUAUUCACGCUGCUCUCAGGUGGGCUUUUGACUUGUCAUUUCAUCACUCUGUUAUUCAGGCGGG